CAGAAGAGAGUUAAAGUAUCCACACUACAUAACAUCAAGACUCUCUAUAAAACUACAUAAAACAAGACAGAUUUUGUGACAGAAGAGAGUACAGAAAUAGACGCACGUCAUGGAAUAGACUAAAACAGAAACAGGAAGAUUCUAAAUUUUAUUUAGAAUACUGACAUGGUUUUAAGGAAUCCUGCUCUCCUGUCAAUGAUCUCUCCUCACAUAUAUGAAUUUUCAGAGAUUGGACCUGGGAACACUUCAUUCACCAGAUAUCUGUGGACAUUCAAAGCACUACACUUCAUAAUUAAAUUUUGGUAUUUCUUCAAAAUUAAAAACAUGACAUUUUCAAAUUCAAAGAAAUGCUUAGAAUAAAAAGUAAGAGUAUGCACAGAUCUAUGAGCUACUUUUAAAAUGAGUAGAAAGGUUAGAAAUAGAGCAAAGCAUGUACAAUACCUUGGAUUAUGACAAGGUUGGAAUGACUUUGCAGACUUUCCAAUAAAUUGUGACCAACUCAAA